rnacentral:tmRNA from 1 species
GGGGUAGCAAUGGUAUCGACAUGUAUUACUACAUAUGACGGCAAGUGGUUAGGCGCCUUAAGUCUACAAUUAAAAUUAAAUGACAAGAGUGAAAACUCAUUUGCUUCAAAUGCUUAUGCAUUUGCCUAAUUAAUUAAUAUAGGAAUAGCAAGCUUCUUUUAAUCUUGCUUAUAGGAUUAUUAGGGGUUCAUAAAUAUAAGCUAUAUUUAUUUACUUGUUUAGGAUAAAUAAAUGAAUAACAACUAAACUUGAAGUUAUAAGCGGUUGGUCUUGAGCCAGUUAUAAUUUGACAAAUAAAUCAAGCUAAACUUGUAGAUGUCAUGUGAUAGGAUAUAUUGGACAGGAGUUCAACUCUCCUCUACUCCACCA